GACAGAGGAUGCAAGCGUUAUCCGGAAUGAUUGGGCGUAAAGCGUCUGUAGGUGGCUUUUUAAGUCCGCCGUCAAAUCCCAGGGCUCAACCCUGGACAGGCGGUGGAAACUACCAAGCUGGAGUACGGUAGGGGCAGAGGGAAUUUCCGGUGGAGCGGUGAAAUGCUUAGAUAUGACAUAGAACACCCAUUGCGAAGGCAGCUUACUACGGAUAUAUUGACACUGAGGCUCGAAAGCGUGGGGAUCAAACAGG
rnacentral:rRNA from 1 species